UCUGCGCUGGGAGAGGACUGAGCAAAUAACAGUAGAUCAUGAGCAGCCAGUGUGAUGCAUUGUGGGAGACAGAUGGAUGAGUGGCCUCAGGGUUUUGAACACAACACAGGAAGCAGCAUACAUGCUUUACUGUCUGGUUGGAGCGAGGCGAGGGAGACUGAGCGGCGAUGGGAAGUGCAGCCCAGGACACACACAGCCUCUGUCAGUUUGAAUGAAUAUUGUGCACACUCGGCUUGUCUCUCCUCCCCCCUCUCUUUCUCGCUCCCUCCUUCCCUCUCUCUGUCUACCAGACACCCCUCCUCCACUCCUCUCCAGCUUUGCCCUCCUUUGCUAUCUCCUCCUCUACCCUCCCUCCUCGCUGCUGCUGCUGCUGCCUUCAGACACGUUCUCACUCCAAGACUGGCUGACAUUAUGGAGCUGCACUUACUGAACCUCCCGGACCCAGACGGUUAACCCUUCUGAUGCAGCUGCAGAUACCGUCUGUUUAUGUUUCUGAUCAUCUUCCCGGUGUGUUUGGUCCUCCAGGCGCUGCUUUCAUACAGAGCCGCACACGGCAUCGUUAAAUAACCGCUCAAGUUCACGAUCCGCGGGGAAUUUUUACCAGCUUCCCAAAAAAAGAACGCUUGGGAGUUUGUUUUCAUCUGCGAAAUCUGAUAUUUCACUUGUAAAAUGCCCCAAAAUCAGUCUCUAGCAAAUUUGUCACACGUGCAAUAUGUUGUACACGUCAAACUAACGUGAUGUCUCAUGAUUUAUAAGUUGAAUAUCAAUAAAAGUUUGUGCAUA